rnacentral:misc_RNA from 1 species
GGAAAGAAAAGAUUAGUAAGAAAAAAAAAUGAGUAGUAGUUUGUACAAGCGAAUUAUCAACCGAUUUUAUCAAUCGAUUGUUGAUUGCUAUUUUUUUUUUUUAAAUUGAGCAGAAAUUUUUUAUGGAAAAAAUUUUUACAAUCGAUUCGCAAUAGGUUGUAAAAUCAAUUACUAUAUUUUAAUUAGUUACAAAUAAGGAAAACAAAAUAAAAACUUGUGCAAAUUUUUGGGGGAAAA